CACACACACUCUGCAUUCACUGCACUAACACACACUCUGCAUUCAUUACACUAACACACACACUGCAUUCACUACACUAACACACACACACUCUGCAUUCACUGCACUAACACACACUCUGCAUUCAUUACACUAACACACACACUGCAUUCACUACACUAACACACACACAAUCUGCAUUCACUGCACUAACACACACUCUGCAUUCAUUACACUAACACACACACUGCAUUCACUGCACUAACACACUCUGCAUUCACUGCAUUAACACACACACUGCAUUCACUGCACUAACACACACACUGCAUCCACAACACUUAGACACACUCUGCAUUCAUUACACUAACACACACACUGCAUUCACCACACUGACACACACUCUGCAUUUAGUACACUGACACACACACUGCAUCCACUACACUGACACACACACUGCAUUCACUACACUGAAACACACUCUGCAUUCAUUACACUGACACACACUCUGCAUUCACUACACUAACACACACUCUGCAUUCAUUGCACUAACACACACUCUGCAUUCAUUACACUAACACAGUCUGCAUUCAUUGCACUGACACACACACUGCAUUCGUUGCACUGACACACACUCUGCAUUCAUUACACUGCCACACACUGCAUUCAUUACAC